CAACGACCUCGCUUCGGCCAUCUUGGCGACCUUGCCUUGCCGUGGAUUGUUUUUAGUUGUAUGUAUUAUUUGUGCUUUUUAAGAAUAUUUUUUUAAUUCGGAUACUUUUAUAAUAGCUUUAAUAGUAUUAUUAACAUAGUGCAUAAAAUGGUGUACUGUUUUUAACGCAGUUGGAGUAGCAGAAACAAAUGUAGAUAAAAAAAUCUGCAGGAAUAACGUUUCAAUUAUGACAGAAGCUCAAAACAAAUGACUGUGAAUGAAAAGCCCUAUUAAAAGCUUUCCAGAAGAUCCUGCGAAGAAGACAUGAAGUAUAGAUCAGAUUUGUUAAUAGAGGAGUAUGUUCAAAACACUUUUUAGAAAAAGAUAUUGACAGAACUUCACUUUCAUCUGUUCGUUUGAGAGACUGUGCUGGUCCAAUAGCUUAUGUCACACAGAAUCAGCUGAGAGAAGUGGUCUACAAAAAACCAGAAAGGAAACGGAAUAUGUGGCUACGAAAAGCAAAAGAAAGGUUUACAAAGCAAAUGUGACACAUUUUUUUAUAAUAUUUAGGAAUGUCAGCAAAUUACAUUAAAAAAUGUAUGUAAAGAUUUUUUGCAAUAAAAAUGUUUAUAUUUA